CGUACACUCCUGCGGGAGGCAGCAGUAGGGAAUCUUCCACAAUGGGUGCAAACCUGAUGGAGCAAUGCCGCGUGAGUGAAGAAGGUCUUCGGAUCGUAAAGCUCUGUUGUUAGAGAAGAACACGUGCUAGGUAACUACUAGCGCCUUGACGGUAUCUAACCAGAAAGUCACGGCUAACUACGUGCCAGCAGCCGCGGUAAUACGUAGGUGACAAGCGUUGUCCGGAUUUAUUGGGCGUAAAGGGAGCGCAGGCGGUCUGUUUAGUCUAAUGUGAAAGCCCACGGCUUAACCGUGGAACGGCAUUGGAAACUGACAGACUUAAAUGUAGAAGAGGAAAAUGGAAUUCCAAGUGUAGCGGUGGAAUGCGUAGAUAUUUGGAGGAACACCAGUGGCGAAGGCGAUUUUCUGGUCUAACAUUGACGCUGAGGCUCGAAAGCGUGGGGAGCGAACAGGAUUAGAAACCCUUGUAGUCCCA
rnacentral:rRNA from 1 species